rnacentral:sRNA from 1 species
GCUGGGCACAGUGGCGCGCGCCUGUAAUCCCAGUGCCGCGGGAGGCAGAGGCAGAGGCAGGAGGAUUGCGAGUUCAAAGCCAGCCUCAGCAACAGCAAGGCACUCAGCAACUCAGUGAGAUCCUGUCUCUA